rnacentral:lncRNA from 1 species
CCCGCAAUGAAGUGCAGCGCUUGGGGCAUGAGGGAAAUUAUCUGGAAAGAGAAAAGAAACAGAUAUUUAUGGUCGGCACUUUUGGUGUCUUGAAGAAACUUCUUUCAUUUUACACCUGAAAAGGUGGGGAUGCUGAGCGCAGUGGAGAGCGAUGCUUAACUGCUUUUCUUGGGAGUCUCCUCUUGUUAACCCUGAACACGGAAAAGAAGAAAGAGAUGAGAGGCGAGAGGCAAGGCUGAUAGUUCGAUAGGCAAACGAGGGCCAGACAGAGACCAACCUCGGCUCAGAUAUGAUAAGCACAGAACUAAUUCCGGCUAAAAAAAAUAACUUUUGAUUUUAGUGGCAGUCGCUAUCCGAGUCUGGCAUUGGGAUUGCUCAAGGCUCUUGGAUAUU